rnacentral:rRNA from 1 species
UACAGAGGUCCCAAGCGUUGUUCGGAUUCAUUGGGCGUAAAGGGUGCGUAGGCGGCGGGGUAAGUCGGAUGUGAAAUCCCGGAGCUCAACUCCGGAACUGCAUUCGAUACUGCUCUGCUAGAGGACUGGAGAGGAGAUUGGAAUUCACGGUGUAGCAGUGAAAUGCGUAGAUAUCGUGAGGAAGACCAGUGGCGAAGGCGGAUCUCUGGACAGUUCCUGACGCUGAGGCACGAAGGCCAGGGGAGCAAACGGG